rnacentral:rRNA from 1 species
AUACGGAGGAUCCGAGCGUUAUCCGGAUUUAUUGGGUUUAAAGGGAGCGUAGGCGGACUAUUAAGUCAGCUGUGAAAGUUUGCGGCUCAACCGUAAAGUUGCAGUUGAUACUGGUCGUCUUGAGUGCAGUAGAGGUAGGAGGAAUUCUGGGGGUACGGGGGAAAUGCUUAGAUAUCACGAAGAACUCCGAUUGCGAAGGCAGCUUACUGGACUGUAACUGACGCUGAUGCUCGAAAGUGUGGGUAUCAAACAGGAUUAGAUACCCUGGUAGUCCACACAGUAAACGAUGAAUACUCGCUGUUUGCGAUAUACGGCAAGCGGCCAAGCGAAAGCAUUAAGUAUUCCACCUGGGGAGUACGCCGGCAACGGUGAAACUCAAAUGAAUGGACGGGG